AGACCAUGAUGUGUGAAUGAAUCUUGGCCAAGUUGUUGCAAACACAGUGUCUUAUCAUUGAAAGUCUUAUAACUUCAUGUCAAAGAGUGACCUUUCACGCACUUAUCCAGCAUACAGUUCAGGUUGCUGCAUCCACAGGACAUUCAGUGGUGCUGGUGGACACAUCUGAGGACAUACUGAAGAAAUGUACAAAGGGUAUUGAGGCUAGUCUGAAGAGAGUGGCAAAGAAGAAAUUUGCAGAAAAGCCUGAGGAUGGAGAGGCCUUCGUUCAGAAAGUCCUGAAGAACAUCUCUACUAGCACAGAUGCUGUGUGUAGUUCAGGGCACUGAUCUUGUGGUGGAAGCUAUUGUGGAAAACCUAAAAGUCAAACAAGAUCUGUUUGGAGCUUUGGACAAAGCGGC